AUGAAGCUUUGGUUGUACCUCGUUCUCAUUGCAGCAUCUCUGGAAGGUGCCCGGUCCCCAAUCCAGCUGGUGGAGUCCGGAGGGGACGUGAAAAAGCCCGGAGAGCCUCUCCGCCUCUCCUGCAAAGCCUCCGGGUUCACCUUCCGCAGAUAUGGGAUGAACUGGGUCCGCCAGGCUCCUGGGAAGGGACUGGAGUGGGUCACCUACAUUUACAGCACCAGCAUAUACUACAGUGACUCCGUAAAAGGGAGAUUCACCAUCUCCAGAGAUGACCCCAACAGCCUGUUGUACCUGCAAAUGACCGGCCUGAAACCCGAGGACACCGCCCGGUAUUACUGUGCGAGAGACACACUCAGGGGAAUCCCGAGAGGGUUCAUACAAAAACCUGAGCUGCAGAACCGCGCUUCUCCCGUGUGCCGCGUGGGGGCAGCACUUUCACAAACAAUCCAGCCCUGA